GAAAUGCGAUAAGUAAUGUGAAUUGCAGAAUUCCGUGAAUCAUCGAAUCUUUGAACGCACAUUGCGCCCUCUGUAUUCCGGGGGGCAUGCCUGUCCGAGCGUCAUUGCGAACCCCUCAAGCACGGCUUGUGUGAUGGGCCCUCCCGCGUCUUGGUCGUCAAGACGGGCCCGAAAUGCAGUGGCGGCUUCGCGGUUAUCCGAUCAGCCAGAGCGUAUGGGGACUCUCUCUCUUGUCACACGCCCGCGGCGCGGACCGACGCCUGUCGACCUUUAUUCAUCUUCUCUCGGUUGACCUCGGAUCAGGUAGGGAUACCCGCUGAACUUAAGC
rnacentral:misc_RNA from 1 species